AUGUUCCCCAUGUUCCAGGAGAUUGCACCACAUGACCAGGAAGACAAGUGUGGUCACCACUAUGCCAUCUGUCUUGACCUGAAGAACCAACGUUUUGAGCUGCUUGAUUCAAUCCGUUCGGAAGCUGAUGCAGAUCUUACUACGCAUGCCGAAUUCUUCAUCAACAACCUCAAAGAGACAUGGAACCAUCACUACGAACAUUCAAAAGUCCAGAUCAGGCAUUUCCCGACUGAGUAUGUGGCGACUGCGAAGCAAGGGAACACGACGGACUGUGGCUUUCACGCGUUGGAAUACUUUGCAAAGUGGGAGGGCAGAAUUGUCCCCGCUAUCACAGCUGCAACGGUCGUUGAGCUCCGGAAAAUCCACACAUGGAACUGGUUGACAAAUGAAGAUUUCAACAAGCGGUCCGGAGCACGCGAGUUUGUGGAGGAAGCUGUCAAGAAAGUCAUCAAGAGGUACAAGUGA
rnacentral:rRNA from 1 species